rnacentral:rRNA from 1 species
GACGAACGCUGGCGGCGUGCUUAACACAUGCAAGUCGAGCGGAGCGGCGAACGGGUGAGUAACGCGUGAGUAACUGCCCCCCUCUCUGGGAUAACAGUUGGAAACGGCUGCUAAUACCGGAUAGUGUGGGAUGACUCGCGUCCUAUCAGCUUGUUGGUGGGGUAGUGGCCUACCAAGGCGACGACGGGUAGCCGGCCUGAGAGGGCGACCGGCCACAGUGGGCUGAGAUACGGCCCAAGGUCGUACGGGAGGUAGCAGUGGGGAAGAUUGCACGAUGGGGGCAACCCUGCGGGAGCAGCGACGCGUGCGGGAUGCCGUUCUGCGGGUUGAAAGCCGCUUUCAGACACGCCGCGGUAGUCGCAGAAGAAGCACCGGCGAACGCCGUGCCAGGAGCCGCGGUAAUAC